rnacentral:rRNA from 1 species
GAUGAACGCUAGCGGGAGGCCUAACACAUGCCAGCCGAGCGGUAUUGUUUCUUCGGAAAUGAGAGAGCGGCGUACGGGUGCGUAACACGUGUGCAACCUGCCUUUAUCUGGGGGAUAGCCUUUCGAAAGGAAGAUUAAUACUCCAUAAUAUAUUGAACGGCAUCGUUUAAUAUUGAAAGCUCCGGCGGAUAGAGAUGGGCACGCGCAAGAUUAGCUAGUUGGUGAGGUAACGGCUCACCAAGGCGAUGAUCUUUAGGGGGCCUGAGAGGGUGAUCCCCCACACUGGUACUGAGACACGGACCAGACGCCUACGGGAGGCAGCAGUGAGGAAUAUUGGUCAAUGGGUGCAAGCCUGAACCAGCCAUCCCGCGUGAAGGACGACUGCCCUAUGGGUUGUAAACUUCUUUUGGAUAGGGAUAAACCUACCCUCGAGAGGGUAGCUGAAGGUACUAUACGAAUAAGCACCGGCUAACUCCGUG